ACUCCUACGGGAGGCAGCAGUGGGGAAUAUUGCACAAUGGGAAGCCAUCGAUGCAGCCAUGCCGCGCUGUGUGAAGAAGGCCAAUUCGGGCUUGGUUAAAGACACUUUCAGUAGGGAGGAAGGUAGUGUAGUUAAUAGCGGCAUCAUUUGACGUUAGCAACAGAAGAAGCACCGGCUAACUCCGUGCCAGCAGCCGCGGUAAUACGGAGGGUGCGAGCGUUAAUCGGAAUUACUGGGCGUAAAGCGCAUGCAGGUGGUUUGUUAAGUCAGAUGUGAAAGCCCGGGGCUCAAGCCUCGGAACUGCAUUUGAAACUGGCAGACUAGAGUACUGUAGAGGGG
rnacentral:rRNA from 1 species